CCUACGGGCGGCUGCAGUGAGGAAUAUUGGUCAAUGGACGAGAGUCUGAACCAGCCAAGUAGCGUGAAGGAUGAAUGCCCUAUGGGUUGUAAGCUUCUUUUAUAUGGGAGUAAAAUGUUCCACGUGUGGGAUUUUGUAUGUACCAUAUGAAUAAGGAACGGCUAACUCCGUGCCGGCGGCCGCGGUAAUCCGGAGGAUCUGGCGUUAUCCGGAUUUACUGGGUUUAAAGGGAGCGUAGGUGGAUGGUUAAGUCAGUUGUGUAAGUUUGCGGCUCAACCGUAAAAUUGCAGUUGAAACUGGGCGGCUUGAGUACAGUAGAGGUGAGCGGAAUUCGUGGUGUAGCGGUGAAAUGCGUAGAUAUCACGAAGAACUCCGAUUGCGAAGGCAGCUCACUGGACUGUAACUGACACUGAGGCUCGAAAGUGUGGGUAUCAAACAGGAUUAGAUACCCCAGUAGUC
rnacentral:rRNA from 1 species